rnacentral:misc_RNA from 1 species
GUUCCCACCAACAAUGGUGAAUCCUCUGGGCUCCAACAAUAUGUUUUUUCUCGCCGGCGCAGGGAAUAGAGGUUUGGAGAUUGAAGGAAAAUUUGUGAAGUUUACUGCGAUCGGUGUGUACUUGGAAGAGAGUGCUAUUCCAUUUCUAGCUGAUAAAUGGAAAGGGAAAAGCUCUGAGGAGUUGGAACAUUCAGUCGAAUUCUUCAGGGAUAUCGUUACAGGUCCAUUUGAGAAAUUCACUCGAGUGACUAUGAUCUUGCCCUUGA